rnacentral:rRNA from 1 species
AGAGUUGAUCAUGGCUCAGGACGAACGCUGGCGGCGUGCUUAACACAUGCAAGUUGAACGGUAUGACAUGGAAGCUUGCUGAAGUGUCAUAUAGUAGCGGACGGGUGAGUAAUGCAUGAGAAGCUGCCAUUGGGAGGGGGACAACAGUUGGAAACGGCUGCUAAUACCCCGUAUGCCGGAGGGUGAAAGGGAGUAAUCCGCCCGAUGAGGUGCUCAUGUCCUAUCAGCUGGUUGGUGGGGUAACGGCCUACCAAGGCGACGACGGGUAGCCGGCCUGAGAGGGUGAACGGCCACACUGGAACUGAGAUACGGUCCAGACUCCUACGGGAGGCAGCAGUGGGGAAUAUUUGGGCAAUGGGGGCAACCCUGACCCAGCGACGCCGCGUGGGGAAGACGGCCUUCGGGUUGUAAACCUCUUUUGUACGGGAAGAAGGAAGUGACGGUACUGUACGAAUAAGUCCCGGCUAACUACGUGCCAGCCGCCGC